rnacentral:rRNA from 1 species
AGAGUUUGAUCAUGGCUCAGAUUGAACGCUGGCGGCAGGCUUAACACAUGCAAGUCGAGCGGGGAAGAGUAGCUUGCUACUUGACCUAGCGGCGGACGGGUGAGUAAUGCUUAGGAAUCUGCCUAUUAGUGGGGGACAACAUCUCGAAAGGGAUACUAAUACCGCAUACGUCCUACGGGAGAAAGCAGGGGACCUUCGGGCCUUGCGCUAAUAGAUGAGCCUAAGUCGGAUUAGCUAGUUGGUGGGGUAAAGGCCUACCAAGGCGACGAUCUGUAGCGGGUCUGAGAGGAUGAUCCGCCACACUGGGACUGAGACACGGCCCAGACUCCUACGGGAGGCAGCAGUGGGGAAUAUUGGACAAUGGGGGGAACCCUGAUCCAGCCAUGCCGCGUGUGUGAAGAAGGCCUUUUGGUUGUAAAGCACUUUAAGCGAGGAGGAGGCUACCGAGAUUAAUACUCUUGGAUAGUGGACGUUACUCGCAGAAUAAGCACCGGCUAACUCUGUGCCAGCAGCCGCGGUAAUACAGAGGGUGCAAGCGUUAAUCGGAUUUACUGGGCGUAAAGCGCGCGUAGGUGGCCAAUUAAGUCAAAUGUGAAAUCCCCGAGCUUAACUUGGGAAUUGCAUUCGAUACUGGUUGGCUAGAGUAUGGGAGAGGAUGGUAGAAUUCCAGGUGUAGCGGUGAAAUGCGUAGAGAUCUGGAGGAAUACCGAUGGCGAAGGCAGCCAUCUGGCCUAAUACUGACACUGAGGUGCGAAAGCAUGGGGAGCAAACAGGAUUAGAUACCCUGGUAGUCCAUGCCGUAAACGAUGUCUACUAGCCGUUGGGGCCUUUGAGGCUUUAGUGGCGCAGCUAACGCGAUAAGUAGACCGCCUGGGGAGUACGGUCGCAGACUAAAACUCAAUGAUUGACGGGGCCC